AACCUCCGCAAUGUGAGAAAUCGCGACGGGGGGAUCCCAAGUGCCAUUCUUAACGGGAUGGCUUUUCAUUAGUGUAAAAAGCUUUUGGAAUAAGAGCUGGGCCAGACCGGUGCCAGCCGCCGCGGUAACACCGGCAGCUCUAGUGGUAGCAAUUUUUAUUGGGCCUAAAGCGUCCGUGGCCGGUUUAAUAAGUCUCUGGUGAAAUCCUGUAGCUUAACUGUGGGAAUUGCUGGAGAUACUAUUAGACUUGAGACCGGGAGAGGUUAGAGGUACUCCCAGGGUAGAGGUGAAAUUCUGUAAUCCUGGGAGGACCGCCUGUUGCGAAGGCGUCUAACUGGAACGGUUCUGACGGUGAGGGACGAAAGUUAGGGGCGCGAACCGGAUUAGAUACCCGGGUAGUCCUAACUGUAAACGAUGCGGACUUGGUGUUGGGGUGGUUUCGAGCUGCUCCAGUGCCGAAGGGAAGCUGUUAAGUCCGCCGCCUGGGAAGUACGGUCGCAAGACUGAAACUUAAAAGGAAU
rnacentral:rRNA from 1 species